rnacentral:rRNA from 1 species
UUUCCGGUUGAUCCCGCCGGACCUGACUGCUAUCGGAUUGAUACUAAGCCAUGCGAGUCUUUGCAGUAAUGCAAGGCAUACGGCUCAGUAACACGUAGUCAACUUACCCUAUGGACGAGGAUAAUCUCGGGAAACUGAGCAUAAUACUCGAUAGAUCAUAAUGCCUGGAAUGGUUUAUGGUUGAAAUGAUUCGUCGCCAUAGGAUGGGACUGCGGCCUAUCAGCUUGUUGGUGAGGUAAUGGCCCACCAAGGCGAUUACAGGUACGGGCUCUGAGAGGAGAAGCCCGGAGAUGGGUACUGAGACAAGGACCCAGGCCCUAUGGGGCGCAGCAGGCGAGAAAACUUUGCAAUGUGCGAAAGCACGACAAGGUUAAUCCGAGUGAUUUCUGCUAAAGAAAUCUUUUGCAAGUCAUAAAACCACUAGUGAAUAAGGGGUGGGCAAGUUCUGGUGUCAGCCGCCGCGGUAAAACCAGCACCUCAAGUGGUCAGGAGGAUUAUUGGGCCUAAAGCAUCCGUAGCCGGCUCUGUAAGUUUUCGGUUAAAUCCAUGUGCUCAACGCAUGGGCUGCCGAAAAUACUGCAUAGCUAGGGAGUGGGAGAGGUAGACGGUACUCGGUAGGAAGGGGUAAAAUCCUUUGAUCUAUCGAUGACCACCUGUGGCGAAGGCGGUCUACCAGAACACGUUCGACGGUGAGGGAUGAAAGCUGGGGGAGCAAACCGGAUUAGAUACCCGGGUAGUCCCAGCUGUAAACGAUGCAGACUCGAUGAUGCAUUGGCAUAUAGCCAGUGCAGUGUCGCAGGGAAGCCGUUAAGUCUGCCGCCUGGGAAGUACGUACGCAAGUAUGAAACUUAAAGGAAUUGGCGGGGGAGCACCACAAGGGGUGAAGCCUGCGGUUCAAUUGGAGUCAACGCCGG